CCUACGGGCGGCACCAGUGGGGAAUAUUGGACAAUGGGGGGAACCCUGAUCCAGCCAUGCCGCGUGUGUGAAGAAGGCCUUUUGGUUGUAAAGCACUUUAAGCGAGGAGGAGGCUACCUAGAUUAAUACUUUAGGAUAGUGGACGUUACUCGCAGAAUAAGCACCGGCUAACUCUGUGCCAGCAGCCGCGGUAAUACAGAGGGUGCGAGCGUUAAUCGGAUUUACUGGGCGUAAAGUGUGCGUAGGCGGCCAAUUAAGUCAAAUGCGAAAUCCCCGAGCUUAACUUGGGAAUUGCAUUCGAUACUGGUUGGCUAGAGUAUGGGAGAGGAUGGUAGAAUUCCAGGUGUAGCGGUGAAAUGCGUAGAGAUCUGGAGGAAUACCGAUGGCGAAGGCAGCCAUCUGGCCUAAUACUGACGCUGAGGUACGUAAGCAUGGGGAGCAAACAGGAUUAGAUACCCUGGUAG
rnacentral:rRNA from 1 species